AGGCAGAAAAGAACCAAGGAAACCUCCACCCAGUAACACCAUCAUAUUCCUGAAAGGCAAAGGCCAGCAGGCAAGGAAGGCCUUUUAUCAAGAAGUUGAGGCUGGUCCAGUGUGGAACAGAGAUAUCACAGGUGUGACUGAGUGAAGCAUCAUGAGAUGGAGAGAUUAUCCUGGAUCACUCGGGGGCCCACUUUGAAAGGAAGGCAGAAGGGCAAAUCAAGGAGCAGGUGAUGUAUCAGAAGGACAGAUUAGAGUGAGGAGCUUUGAAGAUGGAAUACAGGGGGCCACUGGGAGCUCAGAAAGCAAGGCAUCAGACUCUUUUCUGUAGACGCCAGAAGGCCCCAGCCCUGCCAACAGCUUAACUUGAGCCCAGGGGGAGCUAAUUUUAUGCCUCUGCCCUGAACUAUAAGAAAACAAGUGGUGCUGUGUUAAGCCACUCAGUUUGUGAUGGUUUGUUACAGCAGCCACGGGAAACUCAUACAUUCAGUUAUUGAUAAAUAAAACUCUCCAUGCUGUUUUCUCAUUUCUGGCCCAGGAAUCUGCUUCCAACUAUGAGUUGGGUACAGUUUCCCCCUCCUGUUGCAUUCUAGGACAGCAACUGCUAGAGGUGUGCUCUGCUGCGGGAACUCCAGAAGACCCUUGCUGUGCCUGUGCUGGCCACCCCCCUCUGCCUACCUUCCAUUUGCCAAGCAAAGAACUCAAAACGAAUUGUGCCGUCUGGAAGAGCAGACACGGCUCUGCUGGGGUCCAGUCUUCACUGAUCCCAGGGUCUCUUCAGAACCCCUCAGUCACAGAAGGGCUCCUGUGUCCCAUCAGAAAGAAGAAGUGGGUGCAGCUGGGCGCCGGGCAAUCCCAGAGGCCAGGGAGGCUGAGGAAGGAGGAUCACAAGUUCAAAGCCAGCCUCAGCAAUUUAGUGAGAACCUGUCUCUAAAUAACAUAUAAAAAAGGGCUGGGGAUGUGGCUCAGUGGUCAAAUGCCCCUGGGUUCAAUUCCUGGUACACCCAUCUCCCCCCAAAAGAAGUGGGUGCGACAGGUCUCCCACUGAAGUCUGAGCCUCUCAAACGCACUUACAGAAUUUCUCCUGGGAUGGAGAGGUGAGCGUGCCCCCAUUUUCCCGAGAACCUGGGGACUCUCUGGGGAAUAGGAGGCAAAUUCCCUGGGAUGGGUGCCUGUCAGAGCCUCUCUCGGACGGGUGGCAUCUCACGGACUGCAGGAGACACUUGGGAGCGAUGAGGUGAAGCCUUUGACACCUGCAGGGUCCUCUGCUGGUCUGUGUAACAAGAUGUCCCUGCUUCCUGCCUCCCAUGCAAAGAGCUGCCACUGUGCGGGGAGGGCUGGCCACUCUGGGGAAGGGUGACUUAUUGGACGCCCAUAAUUAGCCUAUUUCCAUGUAACACAUUUUAACAGAGGCCAUUACAGGCUAAUAAAAGGAAACAAUAGUGCCAUAAAUCCCACAAUCAAUAGAGGGAAAGCAGCGAGGCUGGGAGCCCGCUUCCUCUGAAGGACCCAGAGGGCUUCAGCAAUGAAAUGUCCCUUGAAACUGAAAGAUAAGGGGAAAGCGGAUUCGCCAGCUCACUCGCUCGCUCACUCAUUCAGCAGAUCUUUGGAGGCACAGACCAGGUUCCAGGCUGUCCUCCAAACUCCUAGGAGAGAGAUCAAAGCUCAGGAUAGCGAAGGAGAAAGACACAAGGACAGAAAUGGCACCCUGCGGUGUGACGGACAUUAUGGAUAACAGCUAAGGGAGCCCAGGCUUCUGAGAGGCACAAUGUCCAAAGGGGUUUUGGAGGAUCAAUAGGAGUUUUCUGGGUAAAGGAGAGAGCUGGGGAGGCUGAUGCUAAGAGAAGAAAGGGCACAUGGAACACUCAGAGUUAGGAAUGAGCCUGGUGAGUCUGGGAACAAGCUGCUACAGACCCGUGCGGCUGCAGAGGCAGGGUGGGGAGGCGCCCUCUUUGCAAGCUGGAAUUUGGGUUCUUUUAAAGGCCAGAGAGGCUGGUUGGAAGGCAGUUCCUAGAGGAGGUGCUGCCUCAGAGGAGACUGGGGACGAGGAAGCCCCUCAUCUCAGGCACUCGUCUCGGGCCUCAGCCUGCCUCCCCCUUGAUAAUGACCAGAAACCUCACAAGUCCACACGUUGCACCAAGAGAAUGAGAUCCUUAGUCUUGUGGUCACCGUGGGCCACACUUCAUCUCUCUGAAUCCCAGUUGCUUUAUAGGAAGUGAAUUCUCCUCAGUAACUCCUCCAUUCAAACAUCUAACCAGUCACCAAGGCCCACUGAUUUCACAUACCUAGUGUGUUUCCUUCCUUUUAGUAGAGGCCACCAGCCUAUCUCACCUUGAAACUGUCAGAGUCCCUUGCUUCUCAUGGCCUCUGUGACAGGGGUCCAUUGAGAGCCCACUACAGAUAUUUAGAUUUUUGAGGCACAAACAACUUUUGCAUAUUAUUCUUUGGUGGAAACAACCCAAUUGUCCCUCAGCUGGUGAAUGGAUAAACAAACUGUGGUAUGUCCAUUCAAUGGAAUAUUACUUAGUCAUGAAAAUCAGUGAGGUCCUUAUACAGGUACAACAUAAAAGGACCUUGAAAAUAUUAUGCCAAGUAAAAUAGUCAGACACAAGUGGCCAAUUAUUAACAAUUCCAUUUAUAUGAAGUGCUCAGAAUAAAUACAUCCAUAGUGGUCGCUUAGGGCUGGGGAGGGAUGACAACAUAGGUGGAUGAUGGCUACAAGGUAUAGGGCUUCUUUUUGAAGGAAUGAGGAUGUUCUAAAAUUAACCCAUGGUGGUGAUUGCACAACCCCCUGAGUACUGUAAAAGCCAUUGAAUCGUAUACUUUUUAAUGGCUGAGUUAUAUGUGAAUUGUAUCUCAAUAAAGCUGUAGUUGUUUCUAAAAAGAUAAAAAUUAUUUUUAAUUCACAGGUGGUAUGAAAGCCAUCAUAGGCUGGAUUUGAUCCCUGGGCCAUGGUUUGGUGAUCUGGAAUCUACACUGCUGCCAAAAUGAACUGUCUAAAUGCAAAUCUGCUCUUGCCACUCCCCUGCCAGGAAGCCUUUGGUGGUUCCUCAUUAUGCCCAGGAUAAAAUAUGAACCACUUGGCUGUC